rnacentral:rRNA from 1 species
AUGCUUUUGAGAGGCUGCUGGGGACAGCGCCGGGUCAGAGAGCACACUCUUGACUUGCAAUACCUGGGUUUUGAGGCCAAGGACCUCCAAUGCUUGGAACGGAUGAUCACAGAAGAGGAAGUCUGGCAGGUGAUCAAGGAAAUGCCUCCGGAUCGGGCCCCGGGGCCGGAUGGCUACAUUUGUGCUUUCUUCCAAAAAGCUUGGCAGAUAAUUAAUUACGACGUUAUGGCAGUAAUGAUGAAGCUUUUCGUUGGAGACACCCGGGGUUUUUCUAAAUUGAACAAGGCAAACAUCAUACUCAUCCCCAAGAGAGCAGAGGCCGGAGAAAUAGGAGACUUUAGACCCAUCAGCCUAAUCCACAGCAUACCAAAGCUCUUCGCCAAGGUUCUUGCUAACCGGCUCCGUUUGCAAAUGCAUGAGCUUGUCGAGAUGAAUCAAUCUGCCUUCAUCAAAGGACGACAAGUCCACGACAACUUCCUUUUGGUGCGCCAAGUAGCGAGAAAAAUUCAUGUGAGAAGAACACCGGGUGUCUUCAUCAAGCUGGACAUAUCUAGAGCUUUCGAUUCUCUUUCCUGGCCUUUCCUCUUUGAGGUUCUGAAAGCGAAGGGUUUUGGCCAACGAUGGUUAGAUUGGAUGGCGGUGCUAUUACAAUCAGCCAGCACCAAGGUGGUCGUUAACGGGUUACCAGGGAGAAAGAUCAUACAGGCUUGCGGCCUGAGAUAG